ACUGAUGUGUAUGUGCAUCUCGCUCACUCAUGUGUAGCACCGCAUUGUGUGAAGGUGUCAUUGCGCACGGCAGUAUUAAACUAGUAUCCAUCGAAACCCCACGUCUUCUUAUUUCUGCACCAUUUACCCACAAACAUAUCAUUGGCGACGAGGACGAUUUUACCCACAUACAAAAAUAAAAAAUGGCGAAGUCAUUUUUGGGUAAUUUAUCGACGUUUGAUUAUAAAUCCGGCGAGUGGUCUAUUUUCAAAGGGCGGUUGACCCAAUUUUUGAAGGUUAACGAAGUCAAGGAAGAGAAUAAAAGUGCAAUCUUGAUUACACAUUUAUCCGAUGACUCAUAUCGUUUGGUGCGUAAUUUGGCUUAUCCGGUCGAGUUGGAGGCGCUGGACUAUAAGAAGCUGGUGGAACUGCUUGAUACUCACUUCAAACAGAAGCAAUGUUCAUUUUCGGACAAGGCCAAAUUUUAUGGAGCUAAGAGGAGCUCAGGCGAGUCAUUGGGCGAUUGGGCUGCACGACUGCGAGGAUUGGCGAGCUACUGUAACUUCGGAUCCGCUUUGGACACAAACCUGACGGAUCGUUUUGUCCUGGGCUUAGGAGCGGGGCCCGAGCGUGAUAAGCUAUUUGAGCAGAAUGCUUCCACGUUGGAAUUUAACAAAGCGUUGGAGAUAGCUGAGCGAGCGGAAUGCGCUAGAGAAGCCAGGAAGGUGUUGUCCACAGAUGACACUGCCAUAAAAGAAGAACCGGUGAACAAAAUAUACAAGGGCGGUUCACGUCGCGGCGGCGGUGGCAGCGGCGCAGGCGGCGCUCGUGCGGGGACACGAGAUGCAAGUCGUGAGGCUGGCCGUUGUUCUAUAUGCGGUUUAAAAGGUCACGAUAAGGAUGUGUGUCGUUACAAAAAUUAUAAGUGUCAAAAAUGUGGAAAAGAAGGGCAUUUAAAGAAAGUGUGUAAUAAAAAAAACCAAACCAACCGUGUUCGCGUCAAUAAUAUCGGAAGCGAUGAUAGUGAUAGUGAAACAGACGGUAGCUGUAAGGAAUGCCAUAAUUUUAACAUAAGGUAUGUAACAGACAAACCGUUGUGUUUAGACAUUAAAGUAGGUGAUAAAAAUGUAACCAUGGAGUUAGAUUCUGGGUCUGGAGUUUCUGUCAUAUCAAAUAGAAUGUACUCAGAACUGUUUGCACAUUAUAACUUAACUGACUGUACGAUUAAAAUGUGUUUAUAUAACGGACAUAAAAUCUCGCCGUUGGGGUAUUUCCAGCCUAUUGUCGAAUAUAAAGCACAAAGGAAAGAAAUUAAGAUAUUUGUAGUAGACUCGAAUGGCCCUCCCCUACUCGGGCGCGAUUUCAUGUCCACUUUCGGUUUAAUUUUAACAAAUGUUUAUAAAAUAAGUCAGGAUCACGAUGUUAAUGCAUUAUUGGAACAGUUUCCUAGUUUAUGGAAAGAUGAACUUGGUUGUUUUAAUAAAUUUAAAGUGCACCUACGAUUAAAGGAAAAUUCAGUACCAAAAUUCUUUAAGGCCCGACCAAUACCGUUUGCCUUAAAAGACAAGGUAGAAUUAGAAUUAGAUAGAUUAGUCAGUUUGGGCAUACUAGUUCCGGUAAGUAAUUCACGUUAUGCAACACCCAUAGUACCGGUUUUAAAGGAUAAUAACACGGUUAAGAUAGCAGGUGAUUUUUCAGUCACACUUAAUAAGGACCUUAUAAUAGAUAAGUACCCGCUACCAAGGAUUGAAGAAGUGUUUGCUAAGCUUGGUGGGGGAGAACAUUAUUCGAAAAUAGAUUUAAAAAAUGCAUAUAAUCAAUUUUGUCUCUCGGAAGAUUCUCAGGAGUUGACUACUAUUAACACACCAAAAGGAUUAUUUAAAUAUACACGUCUAGUUUACGGUCUUGCGAAUGCUCCUGCCCUGUUCCAAAAAGCAAUGGAAGUUUUAUUGUUGGGUAUCGAAGGAGUUAGUAUAUGGUUAGACGAUAUUUGUUUGACUGCGCCAACAAAAGCACUUCAUAUAAAGAGAUUAGCACAGGUUCUAAGCAGGUUAAAUGAAGCGGGGUUGCGCCUUCAGAAAGACAAAUGCGAGUUUUUUAAGGAUAAUGUAACGUACUUAGGUUACAUUAUCGAUAAGAACGGAUUACGUACUAACCGCGAUAAAGUUAAGGCAAUAUUAAAUGCGCCGGAACCGACAAAUAUUACGGAAGUAAAGAGGUUCCUAGGAGUAGUCAACUACUACAGGGUUUUUAUUCCUAAUGCAUCGAGCAUUAUGAGCCCGCUCCACGAGUUGCUGCGCAGUGGCGCGCGGUGGGAGUGGGGAGCGCGCCAGCGCCGCGCGGUGCGUCGCGUGUGCGCUGAGCUCGCCUCUGAGCGCGUGCUGGCGCAUUUCGAGCCGAGCGCGCAGCUAGUGCUAUCAGUAGAUGCCGGGCCGCAUGGACUCGGGGCUGUCCUAUCUCAACGGGGCAGCGAUGGCGGCGAGCGACCAUUAGCGUACGCCUCGCGGUCGCUUUCGUUUCAGAUAACGAUCCCAAGAUAAAUUCAAAGGAAUUUAAUUUGUUCUGUUCCAAUAAUGGCAUUAAAUACAUGACGACUCCAAUUUACCAUCCAUGUAGCAACGGUCAAGCGGAAAACUCAGUAAGAACAUGUAAAAAGAUGUUGAAAAUAAUAUUAAGUGAAAACUCUGCACAACAUGUGUUACGUGAAAAAUUGAUAGGCUAUUUAUUUGAAUAUAGGAAUACAGAGCACUGCACUACUGGACACUCGCCCGCAGAAUUAAUGUUUGGUCGGAAGCUGAGAUCACGGCUUGAUUUAAUACUUCCAAAAGAAAAUGAAUCGCAUAAAACAAUGUCGAAGGAGAAUGAAUGUAGUAGCAGAGCCUUUGUGAUUGGUGACAGGGUAUGGGUCCGGUGGUACAGUGGUAGAAAAGAAGCUUGGAAAUUAGGAGUAAUAAGUAAAGUGAUAGGGAAAAGAAUGUAUGAAGUGGUGGUUGAUGAUCAAAGUGUAUCUUGUAUUAGGCAUCUUGAUCAGCUUUUAGAGUGUAAAAAUAAAGGUAUAGCAAGAUCAAUUGAUUGUGAUGAACCGAUGCCUUCAGGGGUUCCACCCGUUCCUAGUUCACCGACUUCAACAAUUCAGUUUAGUCCAACAACAUCCGAAUUAAUUAGUGAGUCGGAUUCAGUUAGCACAACAGGUGUAGAUUCAGAGGAACCGGUGGAAGAAGAAACGGUGGCAGCGCCAGUUACUAUUACUAGCGUGGAAGGUUCUAGCAAUGAUGCUGGAAGCAGUAGUAGUGGUAGCGAUGUAAUUUGUACUGAAGCUCGAGAAGGUGUACGCCAAUCUGUCAGUUGUAUGCCAGACGCCCAGGCUCCUCAAGCCUCGGCCAGGCCACAGGAUUCAUCUCCGCAAUUAUCACGUGCACGUUCUCAGCGAGUUAGGAAGAAGAUUUCAAAAUUAGUGUGGAGGAAUGAUGUGUAUGUGCAUCUCGCUCACUCAUGUGUAGCACCGCAUUGUGUGAAGGUGUCAUUGCGCACGGCAGUAUUAAACUAGUAUCCAUCGAAA
rnacentral:misc_RNA from 1 species